rnacentral:tRNA from 1 species
AUCUGCGUAGCUUAUUCGGUAGAGCAUCAGAUUUUUAUGAAUUACUUAAUUAUAAGGACAUCUGAGGGUCGAGGGUUCAAGUCCUUUUGCAGGCG